CAGAAGCUGCAGCUGCUCUAGCCGGCGCUUUGCGUCUUCCCAGCUCAGGGGCCGGCUUGUGGGUGAAGAAGCUUCGGGUCGUCUGGGGGUGGCUGAAGGGAGGCCUUGAGGAGUGCUGCCCGGCCGAGCCCAGACAGCCGCAGACGUGGGAGACAGUCAGGACGGCUGAGAGGUGUUUGGUUCUGCCACAUUUGGGAUGUUUUUGCUGGUAUCUAGAUGCCGUGUGAGUCCGCUAGGGCCGCCGUAACAAGCACCCAGAUAUUUAUGGUCCUGUGUCCUGGAGGCAGGAAGUCCGAGAUGGAGGUGUCGCAGGGCUGGUGCCCCCGAGGCCUCUCUCCUGGGCGUGUAGACGGCCGUCUUCUCCCCGUGUUCUCAUGGGGUCGUCCCUGUGCGUGUCUGUGCCCUGACCUCCUCCUCCUGUAAGGACACCAGUCACACUGGAUCGGGGCUCACCCUGUGGCCUCAUUUUACCUUAAUCACCUUUAAGACCCCAUCUCCAAGUACAGUCACAUUUUGAGGUGCUGGGGGUCAGGACCGCGACAUCCAGAUUUUGGAGGAACACAGUUCAGCCCAUAGCAGACGCCCAGAUGGAGGGAGAGGGGGUCGUAGCCAGAGGACGAGCCUCUGGCCCCCUUGGCUCCAUUGGUCCCUGUGCAGGAGGAACAAUUUCAGGCACCUCCGAGAAACCCAGCUCAAGAGGGAAAAUGAGAGUGUUGGUUGCAGGCAUGGCUGGUUCCAGGGGCUCUGGGCCCAGACUCUGCUUCCUCCCUUUGGCUGACCUCACGUGCUCCCCCAGCCUGCCCAGAAGAGGAGGCCCCCCUUUUUCCGGGCCAUGCCACGUGGCACGCAGGAUCUUAGUUCCCCAAACAGGGAUCAAACCUGUGCACCCUGUGCUGGCAGCUCGGAGCCUCGACCACUGGACCGCCAGGGAAGUCCCGAGGAGGCCCUUCCUACCGUUUCAGGGAAGGUCCUGGAUUGGCUCACUUGGGUCUUGGGCUCUUCCCUGAGCCCCUCACUGGGCCAAGCAGAGGCUUGCCGUCCGGUCGCCGUGCUCUGGGAGCUGAUCUGAGGACGUACAGACCCAACUCAGUGAAUUCUGGCUGCCCUACUUGGAGGCGAUGUAGCUACUCCCAAUUUAAAAAGAACCA